AUUUUAUAUAACAAAUUUAAAAUUUAUAUUUAUAUUUGUAAUAAGUAAGACCUAACCAAAUCUCACCCUAACUUACCUACCCUACCUAUUAUAUGUAUACCUACUUUACACACUUGUUCAUCUAACACCUGUAAACACUUCUAUGUUACACGAUUCUACGGACGUACUGACUCGCUGUCGAGUUUAUAAGUAAAGUCGAGCUUAUAAGUAAACGUCGACAAUCGCGCCCGGACAUGUGGAAAAACAAGAUAGUUAUUGAAAGCAGUACAUUUCAAUUUCCGAAGCGAAAUUCUGUUUGGCAGACCGAAAGAGUUUGCCAGUUUUGUAAGAAGGUAUUCUGCUGCAAAAAAUGUCGCGAUCGUCACGUGGACGAAGUGCAUCCCGAUCUGAACGUUAACUGUGUUUUAUGUGCUUCUAAGGCAUUGCCACUGCGACAGUCUGAAAUUGAAAUUUUUUUAGAAGAUGAGCAAUUGUUGUGUCACAUAGUUAAUAAACAUCUGCCGUUACAUUGUCAGCUGUGUGGUGACUUAGUCGAAUCUAAGGAAGAUUUCAAGUCUUUUGGUGCAUGCAAAUGGUGGUUUCAAUAUCGAAAUCCUUUGACAUCGCCUGUGGACUUCGCACCUCUCGAGAAGAAGUUGAAGCAGUGUUUUUUGAUUGAUAGCGACUAUAACGUUAAAAGCUACAACUAAAACCAAGGAGCAAAUCAAAGAGGAUGUCAAUAUUUUACUUUCUAAAUUGAAGCUUUCUGAAAAGAGAAGUUUUCUUCCUAGCAAACUUUCCGGUGGUCAACAAAGAAAAUUGUGUCUUGGAAUGACGCUCAUUGGUGAUGCUAAUAUUAUAAUCUUGGAUGAGCCAACAUCGGGAAUGGAUCCUGAAACCAGACGAG
rnacentral:misc_RNA from 1 species